UAGGAAAGCCCCACUAUGCUG
rnacentral:piRNA from 1 species